UACGUAGGGUGCAAGCGUUGUCCGGAAUUAUUGGGCGUAAAGAGCUCGUAGGCGGUCAGUCGCGUCUGCUGUGAAAACUCGGGGCUUAACUCCGGGCCUGCAGUGGGUACGGGCUGACUAGAGUGCGGUAGGGGAGACUGGAAUUCCUGGUGUAGCGGUGAAAUGCGCAGAUAUCAGGAGGAACACCGAUGGCGAAGGCAGGUCUCUGGGCCGAUACUGACGCUGAGGAGCGAAAGCGUGGGGAGCGAACAGG
rnacentral:rRNA from 1 species